ensembl:rRNA 5S_rRNA 5S ribosomal RNA
GUCUAUGGCCAUACUAAUUUGAACAAGCCCAAUCCUAUCUGAUCUCAGAAGCUAAGCAGGGUUAAGCCUGGUUAGUACUUGAAUGGGAAACCACCUAGGAAGAUCAGGUGCUGUAGACA